rnacentral:siRNA from 1 species
AGCGUUUCUCAUUAAUUCUGCCA